CUGACACUUCGACAUACGGAGCCAGGACACUUUGACAGCAGCUCUUUAUUUUGAGUACGACUCAAAAACACACAAUGAAACGCUCGAUAGUUUGGUCUGGAUGCUUGCUGCUCGUUUGGACACUGACUGCAUUUGUCAGUUGUGAACCAGCAAAAGAAG